rnacentral:lncRNA from 1 species
GGGCUUCUGCCAAUCUCCUCAGGCUGGAGAAACUGUCAGCUCCGAGCUGAUUUAAGAUACUAGGAAGCAUUUCUGUCAGCUGCUUUGUCUCAGCAUGGCCAGUGAUAGUGAAAGUGUUAGCAGCCAGAGAUGCCUGAACUUUAGGGUUAUUGAAGUGAAUGACUGUUCCUUGGUUGGUAAACAUAUUUACCUCUUCAAUACCAGAAAUAUUGUUGACUCCCAGUUUCUUCAAAGAAAACUGAAGUUUCUUCUCGUCUGCUGUAGCUGUUCUGUGGACAACUUUCUUCUUUCUGCGAGCAGUACCCUUGCCACCGAUGCGCACUUCAGCCUGGAGCUUGGCGAGCUUUUCUUGAUUCAUGAUUGUUUCUUUCAUCUUUCUGGAGCGAGUGCGGCACUGCUGGAACGCGGAAAAACGGGAAAUCGCAGACAAGAAUGCGGAGCAAAACGCAACACACAGCAGAUACCGAGAUGGCGCCUGGAAGGAAGGUACGCAUGGCGCAUGUGCAGUCACCUCCUUCCCCGAGCCAGCAAAGGAUACCCUACGCCGUGGCGGCGGGGCAGAGUCGUCAUCUCUGCAGGAGGAAUUGGGGGCUGUUCGGAUAGUACUGUCCCUGUAGCAAGUGCUUGCAGAGAUUUUCAGGCUUCUGCAUGCUGCGGUCUAAAAAACAAAUUUAUUUGUACAGAUUACUUGGAAUAUCAGGUUAAGCACCCAGGACGGGCUCGGUUCUUCCCGGCGUCCGCACACGGCUCUGAUGUGCGGAAACCAGACCCUAUAGCCAGUAAGGAUAUAGAGCAGGCAUGUGUUUAUUGGUGACGCGCAUACACCGUGGUGCAAGGGGGAUCGUUCCACCUAACUUGCACACCGUCCGAAGAAAUCGUGCUAUAGAUAGAGGUCAAACUAAUACAUAAUCAGUAGUUGACAGGAAUUCGGAUACAUAUUCACUACAUUCCCGAGAGCCCAUUAGCAUACAGUCCCUCCCCCCCGCUUGCGCGUGCGUGGCAGGUCGUGAUGAUGAAGGCUCGUAGUCUUCCUCGCUGCAAACUUCUGACCCCGAGGGGGGGCAUCCCCC